CGGCGGAACUACAUUGUCCAGAAUGCCUUGAGAAGAGCAUGCGCAGUGAGGUGCAAAGGGGACUAUAUAAGGGCGCCGAGUGCGUCUGCGCGGCCUUUUCCACGCGGCUUCCGAAGAGGGCAAGCAUGCACAAUGUACUCUAUCAGAAAACUAUCCAGACAGGUGUGGGAGUCACCUGAAAUGCCAAGGUUUUGUCAGACUUUUGAAAGAAUAGCAAGAUGAAAAUGAAGCACUGGAAAAGACGGAGACAGAAAUGAUUGGUUCUAAAAGUAGACAUGGCUGGAUUGGGAUGAAACAGAGCACUUCUUUUGAACAGACCAGAGAAGCAUAAAAAUAGUUCGAUUGGAUUAGACUUCUGGUCAGUGAGGAGGCAGCUGGUCUUUCCACCCCACUCUAAGGAAGGAUUGGAGGCUCUAAGAUGGUUGGUUCGAUCGGAUUAGACUUCUGGACAAAGAGGAGGCAGCUGGUCUUUCCACCCCACUCUAAGGAAGGAUUGGAGGCUCUAAGGUUCAAAGAUUCUAGGUUACUUGGCUGGUUGGCUGCUUUGAAGCUGAAGUUAUCCACAGAAUCAGCUGCAAUGUUGAAUAUUCUAGAGAAGAAUUGAUUUGGAAUUCAGUACUGAUGAUGACCAAUAAACACAUUACUUGUACACUAGCAAA